rnacentral:lncRNA from 1 species
GACCAAACUAAAAUUUCAUAGAUUAAAUGUCUACCAGAGGAAGUCCUUCGAUAUAUUAUGGAGCAGACUCGUUGACUAGCAAAAGAAACGUAAACGGAGCUCAACAACCAGAAGACCACUGAAUGAUAUAUGUAUCAUCCAACACAUGACACUAGAGGCUUCAAGCUCCUUCCAAAUAUUAACUAAGACAGACACACAGAGCAGACUAGCAGAAGAAUGAAGAAAAGAGCUCAACAACUAAAAAGACCACUGAAUGAUUGAUUUAUCAUCCAACACAUGAAAAUAGGGGCUUCAAGCUGUCUCCCAUGCUGGAGGCCGAAAGAGUCCUCUGUGACAAACAUAGAGCUAAGGGGUCAACUUCAUUGUAGAUCAAAAGAGCAUAGUAGAAAAUUACAUGAAGGCUAAGAAAAAACAGUAAUCUACUGAAAUUUAUGCCACACUUGAAGCGAGGGAUCCUAAGAAAGAAAUGGCAUAUCGGCCUAUGAAACAAAAAUACCACAAUAGUAUCAUUUCUUUGGAAAACCUUGGCUUUUCCUAUUUAAGUGUUGGCCUCUUGAUGUUGAACUACAUGAAUAUAUGAUUUCAAAUUAAGUUUCCGAUAUUCGUAUAGAGCAUCCUAUGAUGACUUUAUAAUUCCAUCUAUUGCUUCUUCAUGGGCUAUCAUUACCAUAAAGUACACCUUUUGAUAAAUAGGUUAAUUGUACAUGUAAUUAACAGUUACCAUAAAAUGUGAUCUGUUACUCUAUAUAUUCUAGUCUUAAAUAUUUCAUACUGUUGUAUCGAUGACCCUGUUUCAUUUUGAAAAUCUGAACUGUGGCUGCAUCUAUAUCAUGUUAAUCCUAAAUCUGUGUCUGUGGCCACAUCUAAAACAACACUGUGCAAGAUAAAAAAAUUAACUGCCUUGUGUAAGACAUUGCCAUAAUUAUUGCCAGUUGAUGUGUACUCACUGAUUUAGGCAGAUAAUUAUAUAGAAAAGCAAAUCUUCCUGCUAAGCUGAUUAAUGCUAUCAAUACCUUUGAUGAUAACACAACCAACUAAUUUAUUUGGACAGGGUAACAGGUGUAUACAGGGGUUUGAGUUUUCAUAGUUGUACUUCCAAGAUUUAAUAAAUAAUGAUGCACUUCAUAAGCUUGAGAAAUUGGCAUAAAACUAUUUCUCUGUAUAGCAAUGAAAAAGACAUCUUAGGAAACAACUAGUUAAAUAUGUCUAAGCAUACGGUCAGACAAGGGUGUGACCUAAAGUGGCUCACACAAAAGUUGAUGAAGAUAAUUUGGAACUUGCUCGAAAAGCAGUCCUUUCCAAGAAUCAAGAAUCAAACGAGUAACAAACAAUUGAUUGCCUAUCCAAAAAUCAGGGACUCAGGUUAAAGGUUGGAGGUGCCAAUGUAAUAACAUUGUAAAGAAAAUACACAUAACUAGUCUUAAAGAUGGCUUAAACAACAUGCCAAAGAAUUUCCACUGCAUGGGCAAUUAGGUAAUGGUUUAGGGUCCUAUAAUACUUGUACAGAUGGAUUGGAGAUUAACAGUGUGUGUAAAACAAAGUUUAUUUACAUAAAGGAUAAAAUUUCAAAAAGAAAAAAAAGUAAUUCAAACUUAAUGCAAGCAAAAAUAAUGUACACAAACCAUGGAAGGGUUUUAAUUAAAUUGCACUGGUAAAACAUAUAGUUCCUUUUCACUGACAAAAAUGUUGACAACGACAUGAAAAGUGACAAACUUCUUUCAAAGUGAAUUGAUCAACAAGAAUAUUCAUGGCUGGUAGCAAAGAAUGUAUACAAGAGUAAACUGAUGAUAGGUAUGGCAGCAUAAAUUCUUUGAAAUACAAGAAAUUUGGGAUUAUACAAUGCACUAACAACUAUAGACCAACAACAUAUCCUAGGCAAUGUUUCUCAUAAAUGGGACCAAAUAAAUCUUGCAGGUUCGAUGCAUUUAAGAGUGCAGACCAGAAUGCAUCACACAACCAAGGGGAGAGCGCUGAUGCCAAAGAACUUGAUACUAGCAUAAGUUAGUAUUUAAUAAAUGGACUAGGAUUUUUUGCUUUCAAAGCAAAUAAUAGAGUUUCAAUAGGUGAAAAACUAAAUCAUCAAGCAGUUAUUAUAAAAUAUCAAUUCAUUAGAACAAGAUGGUAGAUACUAGAUAGGAUCUUUGGCCAGAAACCAUUAAUUUAUUAACAUAUCGUAAAAGCUUUUUUAAUGAAUAAAAUUUCAAUGGCCAUAACAUGCAAUUUAUCCACACUUAAAAAUUAGCAUCGAAAGAUGGUUGCAUGGUGCACAAUUAUAAUUAUGU